rnacentral:piRNA from 1 species
UCACUUCCGAAGUUAUCAAAC